GAUAUAGCGGCGGACGGGUGAGUAAACGUGGGUAACCUGCCUGUAAGAUCGGGAUAACUCCGGGAACCGGGGCUAAUACCGGAUAAUUAAUUUCCUCGCAUGAGGAAAUGUUGAAAGGUGGCUUUUAGCUACCACUAACAGAUGGACCCGCGGCGCAUUAGCUAGUUGGUGAGGUAACGGCUCACCAAGGCCACGAUGCGUAGCCAACCUGAGAGGGUGAUCGGCCACACUGGGACUGAAACACGGCCCAAACU
rnacentral:rRNA from 1 species